UCUUAGCUCAGUUGGCUAGAGCGCCUGCUUUGCACGCAGGAGGUCAUGGGUUCGACUCCCAUAGAGUC
rnacentral:tRNA from 1 species